UACGAAGGGGGCGAGCGUUGUUCGGAAUUACUGGGCGUAAAGGGUGCGUAGGCGGCGCGGUAAGUCGGGUGUGAAAUCUUGGAGCUUAACUCCGAAACUGCAUUCGAUACUGCCGUGCUUGAGGACUGGAGAGGAGACUGGAAUUUACGGUGUAGCGGUGAAAUGCGUAGAUAUCGUAAGGAAGACCAGUGGCGAAGGCGGGUCUCUGGACAGUUCCUGACGCUGAGGCACGAAGGCCAGGGGAGCAAACGGG
rnacentral:rRNA from 1 species